AGCUUUGCUCCCGGAUGUUAGCGGCGGACGGGUGAGUAUCACGUGGGUAACCUGCCUGUAAGACUGGGAUAACUCCGGGAAACCGGAGCUAAUACCGGAUAGUUCCUUGAACCGCAUGGUUCAAGGAUGAAAGACGGUUUCGGCUGUCACUUACAGAUGGACCCGCGGCGCAUUAGCUAGUUGGUGGGGUAAUGGCUCACCAAGGCGACGAUGCGUAGCCGACCUGAGAGGGUGAUCGGCCACACUGGGACUGAGACACGGCCCAGACUCCUACGGGAGGCAGCAGUAGGGAAUCUUCCGCAAUGGACGAAAGUCUGACGGAGCAACGCCGCGUGAGUGAUGAAGGUUUUCGGAUCGUAAAGCUCUGUUGUUAGGGAAGAACAAGUGCGAGAGUAACUGCUCGCACCUUGACGGUACCUAACCAGAAAGCCACGGCUAACUACGUGCCAGCAGCCGCGGUAAUACGUAGGUGGCAAAGCGUUGUCCGGAAUUAUUGGGCGUAAAGGGCUCGCAGGCGGUUUCUUAAGUCUGAUGUGAAAGCCCCCGGCUCAACCGGGGAGGGUCAUUGGAAAACUGGGAAACUUGAGUGCAGAAGAGGAGAGUGGAAUUCCACGUGUAGCGGUGAAAUGCGUAGAGAUGUGGAGGAACACCAGUGGCGAAGGCGACUCUCUGGUCUGUAACUGACGCUGAGGAGCGAAAGCGUGGGGAGCGAACAGGAUUAGAUACCCUGGUAGUCCACGCCGUAAACGAUGAGUGCUAAGUGUUAGGGGGUUUCCGCCCCUUAGUGCUGCAGCUAACGCAUUAAGCACUCCGCCUGGGGAGUACGGUCGCAAGACUGAAACUCAAAGGAAUUGACGGGGGCCCGCACAAGCGGUGGAGCAUGUGGUUUAAUUCGAAGCAACGCGAAGAACCUUACCAGGUCUUGACAUCCUCUGACAACCCUAGAGAUAGGGCUUUCCCUUCGGGGACAAGAGUGACAGGUGGUGCAUGGUUGUCGUCAGCUCGUGUCGUGAGAUGUUGGGUUAAGUCCCGCAACGAGCGCAACCCUUGAUCUUAGUUGCCAGCAUUCAGUUGGGCACUCUAAGGUGACUGCCGGUGACAAACCGGAGGAAGGUGGGGAUGACGUCAAAUCAUCAUGCCCCUUAUGAC
rnacentral:rRNA from 1 species